GCGCCUAUAGCUCAGGGGAUAGAGCACUGGUCUCCGGAACCAGGUGCGAGGGUUCGAAUCCCUCUAGGCGCU
rnacentral:tRNA from 1 species